AGUGCGAGAAAAGCUGCAGCACAAUGGUUGCAAGGUUGACUGCAAUGAUCUUUCUCACAAUAAUGCCUCUUAUUCAUACCCUUCAGCCUUCCCGCCUCAUCCCUUUAACUGUGGUUGACGUCGGUGAUAAUGUUACAUUUCACUGCCACAUUUUGGAGAAGGAUCUUAAAUUUGUUUACUGGUAUAAACAGUCUCUUGGUUAUAUGGUUGAAAAAGUAGCUAGUGUAGUUUUAGGUAAAUUGGAGGUAUAUAAAAAAUUUAGAGCUUCUGGCUUUGACAUGAGAGCAGAGGGAGGUCAUUAUGAUCUCACAAUCACAAAUGUGACCAAAGAGGAUGAAGCAACAUACUUAAGUCACGCUGGGACAACAUAUUCACAGACGUUCAUCAAUGGCAUUUUCCUAGCUGUGAAUGAUCAUAAACAGCAGAAAUCGCUAUAUUUGGAACAACAUCCCACGACUGAGUUGGUUAAACAGGGAGACGCUGUAACUCUUCAAUGUUUUAUUCUUUCAAAGAAC